rnacentral:rRNA from 1 species
CAGUCGCCGCGGUAAUACGUAGGUCCCGAGCGUUGUCCGGAUUUAUUGGGCGUAAAGCGAGCGCAGGCGGUUAGAUAAGUCUGAAGUUAAAGGCUGUGGCUUAACCAUAGUACGCUUUGGAAACUGUUUAACUUGAGUGCAGAAGGGGAGAGUGGAAUUCCAUGUGUAGCGGUGAAAUGCGUAGAUAUAUGGAGGAACACCGGUGGCGAAAGCGGCUCUCUGGUCUGUAACUGACGCUGAGGCUCGAAAGCGUGGGGAGCAAACAGGAUUAGAUACCCGUGUAGUCCCUGUCUCUUAUACA